rnacentral:lncRNA from 1 species
UUCACUAAAUUAAUGCAUAUGGAAUACAGAUUAUGCCCCACAGUCUUUAAAAGUCUUCAUUCUUCUUUGAUUCCUGAAGAACCAUCCUUUUCUAAAUGUGUCCUUUUUAACCUGAAGCUUCUCAGAAGUGUGUUCUGUGUUUUCACUUUUGGAUGAGAUUUAUAUCAAAAUCACCCAUAAUAGUAGAUGUGAAGUAUCGACUAAAACACAUUCCAAAUAGCACAUAUUUGGUUAGACGUCAGUCAGAUAAUUAGUCAUCACACUGUAUCUAUGAAAAUGUUUGGUUCACAAAUAUAAGAGUGCUUGAAGCAGAAAAUAUUCUUUUUUUUGUUUUUGGAAAUCUAUUUCUGGAGUGUCUGUUGUGGCUCAGUGCAUUAAGAACCCAACGUACAGAGUUCCCCUUGUGGCACAGGGGAAACGAAUCUGACUAGUAUCCAUGAACUUGUGGGUUGAUCCCGGGCCUCAUUCUGAUUUGACCCCUAACCUGGGAACUUCCAUAUGCCAUGGGUGAGGUCCUAAAAAAAGAAAAAGAACCCUAUGGAGUGUCCCUGAGGAUGUGGGUUUGUUCCCUGGUCUCAGCCAGUGGGUGAAAGUUCUGACACUGACACAAGCUGUUGUUUAGGUUGCACAUGCAGCUUAAAUCUAUAUUGCUGCGACUUAAGCCAGCAGCUGCAGCUCUGAUUCAAUCCCUAGCCCAGAAGCUUCCAUAUAUUGCAUAUGUGUUCCAAAAAGGAAAAAAAAAUUCUAUUUCCCUCAAGGUGUCAUGAAUCAUGGUAUAUUUCAUUUCAAACAUUUAUUAGUAUAUGAUUCUUUGCAUAUGUUACAACUUUGAUGUUCUUCCUACAUUUAUAAAGAAUGUUUUAUUUGUAUUCUAAAGAAGGCAUGACAACCUUUAUAUUUUUAUAUCUGUUACAGUGAUGUAUCUGUAAUAAAUUUCUUAAAUUUUUCUUUGUCAUUUAACUCUUUUUUUUUUUUUUGUCUUUUUGCCAUUUCUCGGGCUGCUCUCGCGGCGUAUGGAGGUUCCCAGGCUAGGGGUCGAUUCAGAGCUGUAGCCACCGGCCUACGCCAGAUCCACAGCAUCGCAGGAUCUGAGCCGCGUCUGCAACCUACACCACAGCUCAUGGCAGCGCCAGAUUGUUAACCCACUGUGCAAGGGCAGGGACCGAACCUGCAACCUCAUAGUUCCUAGUCAGAUUCGUUAACCACUGUGCCACGACAGGAACUCCAUUAACUCCUUAUUCAUUCAAAUUUUUAGUUCAGUUUUAGAUGACCAACUAUAAUCCAUAUUUUAUGAAAUUCUCCUGCCUGUUACACAUGCGACUGACUCAGAAUAUUUUCUUUUUUUUAUUUUUAAAAAGUUUAUUAGAAUAUAGUUGCUCUACAAGGUUGUAAUACUUUCUGGUGUACAGCAGAAUGAUUCAGUUAUAAAAAAAGAACCCACAUUCAUUUUUUUGAAGAUUAUUUUGCUUUACCCAGUACCACAGAAUAUUGGGUAGAGUUCCCUGUGCUAUAUAGCAGGUUCCCAUUGGUCAGUUUUUCCAUAUACCCCAGAGUGUAUAUGCCAAUCCUAACCCCCCGAUCUAGUCCUCCCCUGAUGUGUCUCCUUUGGUAACCAUAAGUGUGUUUUCGAAGUCUGUGUAUCUAUUGCUGUUCUGCAAAUAAGUUAAUUUGUCUACUUUAAGAUUCCACGUAUAAGUGAUAUCCUAUGAUAUUUGUAUUUCACUUUCUAACUUCAUUUAGUGUGAUAAUCUAUAGGUCCAUCCAUGUUGCUUCACAUGGCAUUGUUUCAAUCUUUGUUAUUGGUGAGUAAUAUUCCAUUGUAUAUAUUCAUCACACUCCUUUGUCAGUGGACAUUUAGGUUGCUUCCAUGUCUUGGCAAUUGUAGAUAGUGCUCCAAAGAAUAUUGGGGUGCAUGUAUCUUUUUGAAUUAAGGUUUUGUCUGGAUAGAUGCCCACAAGGUGGAUUGCUAGAUUAAUGAUUUUAGAUCUGUUUUUAGUUUUUUGAGAGACCUGCAUACUGUUUUGCAUAGUGGUUGUGUCAGUCGAAAUUCCGACCAACAGUGCUGGAGGGUUUUCUUUCCUUUGUACCCUCUUCCACAUUUAAAGUUUGUAGUCUUUUUGAUGAUGGCCCUUCUGGCUGGUAUAAGGUGGUACCUCAUAGUAGUUUUGAUUUGUAUUUCUCUAGUAAUAGCAGUGUUGAACAGCUUUUCUUGAAUUUUUUGGCCAUCUGUAUAUCUUAUUUGGAGAAAUGUCUAUUUAGAUCCUCCCAUGUUAGGCACCUUUCCAGCUUUUGCCUCUUCAGAUAUUUUCUCUGGUCCUUUCUCUCGCUCUUCAACUUCUAGCUCCUCAGUAAUGGAAAUAUUGGUGCAUUGCAUGUUGUCCCACAGUUCUCUUAGACUAUCCUCAUUUCUUUUCAUUCUUCUCUUAUUCCGUUGCUCAUCAGUGAUUUGCAGCAGUCUGUCUUCCGCCUUCCUUAUUCAUUCUGCUGCCUGCUGCUCUUGGUACCUUCUCGUGAUUUUUCAUUUUGGUUACCAUGUUCAUCUCUGCUUGUUUAUUCUUUAAAUCUAUUUCUUUGUUAAAUAUUUCUUGUAAUUUAUUGAUCUUUGCCCCAUUUUUUUCUCCCAGAGAUCAUGGAUCAUCUUUACUAUUAUUACUCUAAAUAUUUUUUUUUUUAGUGCCGCACCCCUGGCACAUGGAAAUUCCCAGGCAAGGGGUCCAUUUGGGGCUAUAGCUGGCUACCUACACCACAGCUCCUGGCAACACUGGAUCCCUUACCCAUUGAGCGAUGCCAGGGAUUGAACCCAUGUCCUCAUGGAUACUAGUUGGAUUCCUUCCUGCUGAGCCACAUGGGAACCCCCUCAUUAAAGUAUUUUCAAUGUAGAUUGCUUGCCUCCACUUCACUUAGCUGUUUUUCUGGGUUUUUGUCUUUUCCUUCAUCUGGCACAUAUUUCUCUGUUACUUCAUUUUGUCUAGCUUUUAUUUUGUUGAGCUUUCUGUGUGGUGUCUUUUUGGCAGUCUACACAGUUGUGCCCUCUCUUGCUUCUGGAGUGGGAAACGUUGUGGGUGAAGUUGAUACAGGGGCUUGUGGCAGGCUCCCUGGUGGAAGGGACUGGUUCCUGCCCACGGGUAGGUGGAUGUGAGUCUUGUUCCUCUGGGUGUGAGUAGAAAGGUGGCUGUGUCCCUGAGAGGACUUUAGGCAGCCUAUUUGCUACUGGGUUCCCACUCUGUUGUUGGGCCUGGGGCUUCUCAGCCUUGAUGGAUGGGGCCAGAGUUUUCCAAAGAGGUGGCCUCCAGGAGAGCUCACACCUGUGCUUAUUCCCUGGGCCCUCCAGCUCCAAUGUCCUGGCCUUACACUAAGCCACAGCUGAGCUAGUCUUUGCCAGGAGACCCUGCAAAAGCCGCAGGUAGUUCUGAAGCAGAUUCUUAUGGAGUCCCUGCUUUGUCCUGGGACCCAGUGCACAUGGAAACCUUUGUGUGCCCUGCAAUAGUAGAGUCUUUCUUUUCCCUAGACCUGUGGUGCUCCUGUGCUUUCAGUGCCAAGUGGUCUGGGGACUUUUAUUCCAAAUACCAGACCCCUGGGCUGGGAAUCUGAUAGGGUUUGGGAACUCUUGUUGGAGAGCCUCUGCAUUAUAGUGAUUUUCCAGUCUAUGAGAUGCCUCCCUGGUGGGCUCAUAUCGAUAAAGCUCCCCUACUGCCAUCUCGAUGUUGCUUCUUCUUUGUCUUUGUGUGUAGGAUGUUUUUUUUGUAGCUCCCAGUCUGUGUUGUUGAUGAUUGUUCAGCAGUGAGUUGUUAAUUUUGGUGUUUCUGUGAAAAGAGGUGAGUUCGAGGCUUUCUACUCCACCUUCUUAUAUCUGAAUUUGUGAAACAUUUCCUUUUCAUAGAUGUGUAGUCCCUAUUCAAUGUGAGAAUUAUUUAGAUGGAUUACUUUUUAAGUGCAUGCAUUUGCUGUGUUGAGCUUCCUCGACAACUAAUUAUCUCAUUUUUGCUUCACAGUUCUUAAACAAUUGCUUCCCUUUCUAGGACAGGUUUACCAAAAUCAGUUCAUUUUCAUUUUUCUUCCUGGCAUAUUCAGAAUGUAAAUGACAAUUUUCAACUCAGUAGACUGGAGACAAUAUGAUGUUGCAUUCAAAUUGGAAAGCCCAAUCUGUGUAUUGCCAGUAAAACUGUGUUCUUGAAUGAUUACCCCUCCAUUGUUCAUUCUUUCUGUAACUUCUUUGUCAUUCUUGGUUAAUGGUCAGGGUUGUAGUUUGUCUUUAUGAGUGCUUAUGGAAAGCAUCUAAAUCAUGCCUCCAUGUGUUGAGGAAUUUAUAUUUCUUUUGCGAGAAGAACUUUUGAAUUGGACGUAAUUAUUGACAUGUUUAUGAUUUUGUCAAUGUUAGGUGUUGAUGCAUUUUUAAUUUUUGGAAAAAGAAACAGAAAAAUACCAUGUUAACUAUUUGAAUUAUACAGUUAGGUUUAUUAUUUAUAUUUGCAUGUUUGUGAUAGUGAACUGCUUAAAUUUUCAUCUUGAGAAACAGACUCAGAACUUGUUGAACAACCACCUUCUCGUUUCCCUCAAUUCCAUUCUCAAGGUUGCCUUUAACCCAAUGGAUUGUUUCCUCAGAUGUACCCAGGUUUUUCCAUGUGAUCUCAUUUCAUUUGACUCUUCUGCUUUUGGAAG